AGAUCUGGCAGGGGAGAUACCAUGAUCACGAAGGUGGUUUUCCCAGGGCGAGGCUUAUCCAUUGCACUCCGGAUGUGCUGACCCCUGCGAUUUCCCCAAAUGUGGGAAACUCGACUGCAUAAUUUGUGGUAGUGGGGGACUGCGUUCGCGCUCUCCCCUG
rnacentral:snRNA from 1 species